rnacentral:rRNA from 1 species
CCUACGGGUGGCAGCAGUGAGGAAUAUUGCGCAAUGGGCGCAAGCCUGACGCAGCGACGCCGCGUGAGGGAUGAAGGUCUUCGGAGCGUUAACCUCUUUCAGCAGGGAAGAACGGUCACUGUGCUAAUCAGCAGUGAAUUGACGGUACCUGCAAAGGAAGCACCGGCUAACUCCGUGCCAGCAGCCGCGGUAAUACGGAGGGUGCGAGCGUUAAUCGGAAUUACUGGGCGUAAAGCGAUCGUAGGCGGUAUGUCAAGUCAAGGGUGAAAUCCCCGCGCUCAACGUGGGAACUGCAUUUGAAACUGGCAACCUGGAGUGUGUGAGAGGAUAGUGGAAUUCGAGGUGUAGGAGUGAAAUCCGUAGAUAUCUGGAGGAACAUCAGUUGCGAAGGCGACUAGCUGGAACAUAACUGACGCUGAGGAGCGAAAGCGUGGGUAGCAAACAGGAUUAGAUACCCCAGUAGUC